GACGAACGCUGGCGGCGUGCUUAACACAUGCAAGUCGAACGGAAAGGCCUGCUUUCCCUUGUGGAUUGCGGGUACUCGAGUGGCGAACGGGUGAGUAACACGUGAGUGAUCUGCCCCCAACUUGGGUAUAAGCCUGGGAAACUGGGUCUAAUUCCCGAUAGGACUGCAGGGUGGUGCCUGUUGUGGAAAACGAUUUUCUAGUGGUUGGGGAUGAGCUCGCGGCCUAUCAGCUUGUUGGUGGGGUAAUGGCCUACCAAGGCGGCGACGGGUAGCCGGCCUGAGAGGGUGGACGGCCACAUUGGGACUGAGAUACGGCCCAGACUCCGACGGGAGGCAGCAGUGGGGAAUAUUGCACAAUGGGCGGAAGCCUGAUGCAGCGACGCCGCGUGGGGGAUGACGGCCUUCGGGUUGUAAACUCCUUUCGACCGCGAGGAAGCCACCUGGUUGGAAGGGUGGUGACGGUAGUGGUAGAAGAAGCACCGGCUAACUACGUG
rnacentral:rRNA from 1 species